rnacentral:rRNA from 1 species
AGAGUUUGAUCCUGGCUCAGAGCGAACGCUGGCGGCGUGCUUAACACAUGCAAGUCGAACGAGUGUAGCAAUACAUUCGUGGCGAACGGGUGCGUAACACGUGGAUAACCUUCCUUGAGGUGGGGAAUAACCCAGUGAAAAUUGGGAUAAUACCGCAUAACAAAGCGAUGGCACAUGCUGUUGCUUUCAAAGGAGCAAUUCGCCACAAGAGGGAUCCGCGGCCGAUUAGCUAGUUGGCGGGGUAACGGCCCACCAAGGCAAUGAUCGGUAGCCGGUCUGAGAGGAUGAUCGGCCACACUGGAACUGAGACACGGUCCAGACUCCUACGGGAGGCAGCAGUGGGGAAUCUUGCACAAUGGGCGAAAGCCUGAUGCAGCAACGCCGCGUGGGGGAUGAAGCUUCUCGGAGUGUAAACCCCUUUCGACCCGGACGAAUGCCCGCAAGGGUUUGACGGUACGGGUAUAAGAAGCCCCGGCUAACUACGUGCCAGCAGCCGCGGUAAGACGUAGGGGGCCAGCGUUGCUCGGAAUUACUGGGCGUAAAGGGUCCGUAGGCGGUGCGGUAAGUCGGGAGUGAAAUCUCUGGGCUUAACUCAGAGGCUGCUUCCGAAACUACCGUGCUCGAGUGCGAGAGAGGCAAGUGGAAUUGCGGGUGUAGCGGUGAAAUGCGUAGAUAUCCGCAGGAACAUCCGAGGCGAAAGCGGCUUGCUGGAUCGCAACUGACGCUGAGGGACGAAAGCUAGGGGAGCAAACAGGAUUAGAUACCCUAGUAGUCC